AGCCACCCGAACAAGAGAUAAGGCGCCCUCUACUUCCGGACUUGGCGGAGUUGUUCAGAAGUGACACCGAGGAUGAAGACUACAAUGGAUUUGGUAGUGAUUUGGGGUCUAGAACACUUACUGGUGAAACCGUCAUCGAGAUGCAAACAGCCAUGAAUGCCCACGAAGAAAGACAUGUUUAAAAAUGCCUCAUGCUGCAGGCAUACUGCUAUCAGCCCCGAGGACGACCAGAUUGGACAAAGCACAUGAAGGACAUCCCCGCUAGCUGUGUCGCUCUCGUAAGAUGCCAAACCAAGUCUAGUUCAGUUAGGUAACUCUUCCACAAAGACAAAGCACAGUAGAAUAUGCUUGUGUUGGUCCACCUACCUGCUGCCCAGAGACUUUUCCUG